CGUUGCCGCAGGCAACGACCCGAAGGGCGAAGCGCGCAGCGCUGAGUCAUCCUUCCCCCACCACCA
rnacentral:sRNA from 19 species